CUAGCUGUAAACGAUGGAUACUAGGCGUUGAGAGUAUCGACCCUCUCAGUGUCGUAGCUAACGCGUUAAGUAUCCCGCCUGGGGAGUACGCGCGCAAGCGUGAAACUCAAAGGAAUUGACGGGGGCCCGCACAAGCGGUGGAGUAUGUGGUUUAAUUCGAUGCAACGCGAAGAACCUUACCAGGGUUUGACAUGUCCGGAACCCUGCCCAAAGGCGGGGGUGCCUACGGGAACCGGAACACAGGUGGUGC
rnacentral:rRNA from 1 species